rnacentral:rRNA from 1 species
CGAACGGGUGAGUAACACGUGAGUAACCUGCCCUUGACUUUGGGAUAACUUCAGGAAACUGGGGCUAAUACCGGAUAGGAGCUCCUGCUGCAUGGUGGGGGUUGGAAAGUUUCGGCGGUUGGGGAUGGACUCGCGGCUUAUCAGCUUGUUGGUGGGGUAGUGGCUUACCAAGGCUUUGACGGGUAGCCGGCCUGAGAGGGUGACCGGCCACAUUGGGACUGAGAUACGGCCCAG